rnacentral:lncRNA from 1 species
CGGCGAACUUGUUGGGUUGGGAAAAGUUUGCCACUCAGCAUUAGUAAAGAGGACUCUCGAAAAUCCUCUAUUCAAAGACCUAAGCCCAGCGACAAUUAUAGCUAAGAGCAUUCAAACAUGGAAUAAUUGCCAUGCAUUGAUCGACUCACCAUCACCGUCUGCUUAAGGAUAUAUGAUUGCUUAAGCUAACAAACGGUUACAAGAC